AGACAGAUGGUAAGGUAAUAGCGAGAGUAGCAUUCACACACCUAGGGGUUACCAAAUCAUACGAUUCAGUACCUGGGUUAGCGUUGUACAGAAUCAUACCGAGUAGCGGUAAAACAAAUGGAAAAAGGGUAGGCAUACAAGCAAACACUAGCAAUAAAAUCAUACGAGCUGGUACGUAAGAUAGUAUUAACGCUAAAUAUACAUAAGAGAAGCAUUUUUAUAAAAGUCAGAGCUGAACAAAUAUGUUCGAUCGAACCUAAGUUAGCAUACAGAUGUGUAAGAAUAUCGUCAUAAUACAUAUGUAAGUGAAUAUAGUCUAAAACAUGUAAUGGGACAGCGAUGGUGAUCGCAACUAUAAAAGAGCGUUUCGCACCACGCUCAGUCUUUCAGUUGUGUGGUAGCAACCAAGCAAACUCGCGCUACGGAAACGUGGAAAAGUAAAUAUAAUAAUAAUCGUUCAAAUAAGAAAUAUUAAAACGUUAAGGUCGGAUCACCACGCUGGUUUUUUUUCUCCUACUCCUCUUAAGAUCGCUGAUCAUUGUAAUAAUAAAUAGAAACAUAAGAACAAAACCGAAGGUCCAAGUUAUUUUUAUACUAUAAAUUUUCUUGGAAAGAGUCCUGGAUUAGCUGAGUAUACCCUGCCCAAGACGACUCGUUACAGGGUAAUGUAUUUAAAAACAAACGUGUGGUUGUGGAUUCCAUGUGCAGAAAAGCAAGGCUGAAAAGCAAUGCAGUGAAAUGUUUGCUGACCGGGCUACAAGGCAAAACGUACCUGAAGCGGGUAAAGGGACUGACGCUUUUCGUUGUCCCAUCGCUAAUAAAAGCAAAAGAAAUUUUGAGUCUGCUUUUAAAAGAAGUGGCCGCUCAAGCAACUAUUUAACACAUUCGAGUUCUUUUGUAGCAACACAAAAAAUUAUAUAUAUAUCCUAUCUGGUUAUGGCAAAAAUAGUUAAACAAUGUAUGAAAAAGACAUACCCUUCUGGCUAUUUUCAUAAGUUCACUAGUUCGAAGUUGAGCUUGGUCAUCGGUUUAAUAAAUUAUUUUAGCGCUCUCUCUCUCUUCUGACAUGUGUUUUUGAAGAAGCAAGCGUUAGAGACUCAAUAAGGCAUAUAUCCAGCAUCAAACAAUGAAUCGACUUCAGCAAACUCCAUAGUAGCAAAUAAAUUUCUGGCCGCAAAAGCGACUCCGUCUUCAAAAUUCGCAAACGCAUUGGAUCUUGGUACACGCAUGUGGAAAGUGGGCCACAUCCGCCAAAUGACGCGUUUACUGUGCAAUAUAAAUUAAGAACAUAGGAAGCUUUCAAAAUUAAACAUGGGUGGAGCAGUGAAUAUUUAAAUAUUCCAUUUUGCCGUAAAGGCGAUAGAAUGAAAAAUACUCGGCCUAAGGCGAAAUUCGAGUAAACGUAAUCUUCUUGCUUCUAAUUUGAAAAAAAGACUGGCAAUUUUUUAUCUGGAUAAUUCAUAAUAAUUUAUAUAUGUAUAUAUUGUUGUUUUCUUAAUUCGUAAUUAUUUAUUAAUUAACUUAUUUCUUGUUGUCUCUAACAAUCUUAAAAUUGCUUUGACUGCUUUUAGAAUAUUUUUACAUAGAAAUUAUUUCGAUUGAAGCUACUUUAAACCCUUCUCGAUGGUUUUUGUAACAAGAGACGCGUUCUUUGCUUUUCUUUAGAUAUACCUUUUUAUAUACGUUUGCAUGUAUAUAUAUAAACAAAACUAAAUAGUAGAUUGUAUGUUUUGAAUUGUUGUUUUAUAUUAUUGCUGUCGACUUGUUUGUUUAGAAUUCUCUUUUAAUUUCCUUUUUUUAAAUAUAAUAUUUGUAAAAGACAUCAAUUUAAGCUAAUUUAUAUUGAUUACACUUCCGUAA